ensembl:lncRNA
CAGUGUUUCUCAGUACUCUGUUUACUUGAACCAUACUUCAUCGUCAUCAGAACUGAUCACUAUUUAGAUGAAUCCAGAGGCAUAUGAUGUGCUGGUGAGGUCAAUUGAUGAGAAUGACCACUGGACUCUUCUGAUGAUAUAAUCCAAGGAAAGAAGAAUUUUAUAUUUAAACUCCUUUGGUGAAAGCUGAGCCAAACUGCUUCACUGCAAAAAGGUUGUAAGAGUCACUCCAACUGCAAAGUGGCAAUGUCACGCAUUGCCACACAGAAUUCAGAGGGAUGGGACUUCAUGUGGUGUAUUUGUCUGCAAGUUUGCAGAAGCAGUUCUAAAUGGAGGCAGUUUCUUAUAAAAACUAAGUUCUGGUGAUGUGCAUCAUUACACCAAUACCUUAAUGCCUUUGUUUCCACAUAAGACCUGUCUGAUCUAUGCUUGUCAUGUGGGGACAAAUAUCCUCACACUCAGGACAACACUGACUCUUGGAUUGAAUGUGAGAGAUGCUAUGGCUGGUACCACUGGGAAUGUGUAAACCAGCCAAACGUGAAAGCG